ACUUUGUCAGAGCUGGACUAUCGUACACAAAAGUUACCGACAAACAAAUAUGUAAGUCUUGAAAUGAAUUUUAGUGUUAAUUCCGAGCACAUUAAACACUGUCGAGAGAUGCUUGUGAAGUUUAACGACAAUCUGAAAUGUUUCCAAAACUCUGAAUUGGACAAAUCUCUGAGAUUAUCCACGUCAAUUCCAAUUCUUCCGCCAUUUCUUGAGUUUUUCAAAUCAAUUAUCCAGUCAGAAAUGAGUGAUAACCCGACAUUAUUUGACAUUAUCAAAUCUGAGGAUCUU